rnacentral:lncRNA from 1 species
GACCUCGUGUGACUCUAUUUUAUUAAUGAAGUCUUUUGUAUCUUGAAUGUAAAAGUUAUGCCUCUUCAAUAAUGGUUUUAAGAUUAGACCCAGUAAUCUUUCAAUGCGUCUCGUGGGAGAGUUACACUUAUUGAUGAUUGGUCGGUAAGGAAUGUUUAUGUUUCCAACUAUUUGACCAGUUCGGAAUGCCUCAUUAAUUAUUUCUAGAUUAAUUUUAUGAACUUUUGGAAGAAGGUACAUGUGUCCGUGUUUUGAUUCAUUAUUAUUCCUCAAGAAAUUAUAAGUUUGUGAAUCUAUUUCUUUUUUCCUAUAUAGAUUUUCAACAAUAUCUUUUAUAGAUUUGACAACAACGUUAGUAGUUGGUUCAUUUAUUUUCAACUUUUAUUAAAUGCGGUUCCUUCAACCAACAUACGUAAUGAAUCUCAAGACUUAUAUAUUUUAUUGAGACCAUAAUUAUU